CCGUACAUUACACGUUAUACGUUAUAUCCGAGUCAAAGAUACAAGAAGUUUUUUUUACAAGUGUUUUUUUUUUCAAUUUCAAGUUUUUUUUAAAAAAAGUUUAAUUUAAAGUUUUUUUUUCAAGUUUUUUUUUACAAAUAAUUGUUAUCUUAAAAAAAAACAAUACCUACUUUUGUGCGCAAAACCCAAUUAUUUUAAAAGGUGAGAUUUUUUUUAAUUGAGUUGGCUUUACAUUUUACCCUAAUACUUGCCCUCGUGAUUUUUUUCUACCAGGUGCUCCAGGUGGAGAAAAUUCUAAUUGUUUUAAUUAACACCUACAUACAUUAAUUUUGUGUUUUAUUAAACAUUACUGCUUAAAAUUAAAGGUGCUCCAGAGUAAAAAUCGAUCGAAUUCGAUUCGAAACAAAAAAAAAAACCGACCAUCCAAUCAGACUUUUUAAAGUCUAAAAGUGCUCUUUUUGCUAAGCCACACAAUAUCGCCCAAGUUCAGAAAAAAAAACUAUUUGACUCGCAGCCUGAGCAAACAAAAAAAAAUCACCCCCAAAAUCUCCAUCUUGGAACCUUUUUAUUUAAAUGUGUAAAAAAAAAAGUACAUAUUUUUAUUUUUUUGAUCCUGUUUAAAAAUCCUGCAAGGACUAAAUAAAAUUAACAGCAAAAAAAAAAAUACAACACACACUCUCAACUCAACAAUCAAAAUCAUCCAAACUUUCAUCCUCGGAAAACAUCCAGGAAAACAUCUAAAAUUGCACUUAUAACCUAAAUAAGCAAUAUCCAGGAAAAACAUAUAAAAUCAUCUUCUACCUGAGCCUUCAUCUCAUCACGUUUCAAAAAAAAAAAAUCAUCACAAAACCUAUAAAAGCUAAG